GACGAACCGUGCGACCGUUAUUCGGAAUCACUGGGCUUAAAGGGCGCGUAGGCGGGUUGCCAAGUCUGUGGUGAAAUCCUCCAGCUUAACUGGAGAACGGCCGUGGAUACUGGCGACCUCGAGGGGGGUAGGGGCUUGCGGAACUGUGCGUGGAGCGGUGAAAUGCGUUGAUAUGCACAGGAACUCCGGUGGCGAAGGCGGCGAGCUGGACCCUUUCUGACGCUGAGGCGCGGAAGCCAGGGGAGCGAACGGG
rnacentral:rRNA from 1 species